AAUCUAGUGCAGUGCUUAUAUUCUUGGGCUCUGGAGUUAAAUAGAAGGCCUGGGUUGAACCCCUACUCUGCCACUUGGGAGCUGUGUAGCUUCAGGCAAACUGUUUAAUCUAAGUCUCAUUGCUCUCCUCUGUGAAACGGGGACAGGAAUUGACCUCAGAGAGCUGCUAUAAGAAUGAAUAAGAUACACAUAUUAUGCUAUUAUCCUAGCCCUCUACCUUACACAUCAUAUUUGGUCAUUUAAUAUUAGCUGUUAGUACCAUGGUAAUAGUUUAGGAUUUGGUAAGCAGAACUCCAUCACGCAAUGAGUCACUGUAACAUCAAUGCCGAUAGACCAAGGAUAAAUCAUAUUUAUCAACGUGGUUGAAUCUAGAAUAACACAGGUCUGAAAUGCAAUCAGCUUAUGAAGUAUAUAUGAAUUACGCUUUCUAUUCUAGUGUUAUAAGUUGAAUCACUCUAUCUAAUAUCAUCAGAAUUUACCCUAAAAGAAAGGAAUAUUGUAAUUGUAAAUGAUAGCAGAGGAGAAUAAAGGCCACCAUCAUGGAAAUAAAUGUCAGUAGAAACCC
rnacentral:lncRNA from 1 species